ACAGGUGGUGCCAUGAUAUUGGUAGGGAGCAUGCUGCCAAUAAACCUCUUCUAAAAACAGUUUUUCAGGUCAUGAUGCGUUUGUUCAGUCCCCAUAAAUCAACCCUGUUGUUUGUUAUACGUGAUAAAACAAAGACCCCACUUGAACGUUUGAAGCCUGUUUUAAGGGAAGAUAUUCAGAAG